GAUGAACGCUGGCGGCGUGCUUAACACAUGCAAGUCGAACGGAAAGGCUCCUGCUUGCAGGGGUACUCGAGUGGCGAACGGGUGAGUAACACGUGGGUGAUCUGCCCUGCACUUCGGGAUAAGCCUGGGAAACUGGGUCUAAUACCGGAUAGGACGAUGGUUUGGAUGCCAUUGUGGAAAGUUUUUUCGGUGUGGGAUGAGCUCGCGGCCUAUCAGCUUGUUGGUGGGGUAAUGGCCUACCAAGGCGUCGACGGGUAGCCGGCCUGAGAGGGUGUACGGCCACAUUGGGACUGAGAGACGGACCAGAGUCCUACGGGAGGCAGCAGUGGGGAAUAUUGCACAAUGGGCGCAAGCCUGAUGCAGAGACGCCGCGUGGGGGAUGACGGCCUUCGGGUUGUAAACUCCUUUCGCUAGGGACGAAGCGCAAGUGACGGUACCUGGAGAAGAAGCACCGGCUAACUACGUG
rnacentral:rRNA from 1 species